UACGUAGGGUGCGAGCGUUAAUCGGAAUUACUGGGCGUAAAGCGUGCGCAGGCGGUUCGCCAAGUCAGGUGUGAAAUCCCCGGGCUUAACCUGGGAAUUGCGCUUGAAACUAGCGGGCUUGAGUGCGGCAGAGGGGGGUGGAAUUCCACGUGUAGCAGUGAAAUGCGUAGAGAUGUGGAGGAACACCGAUGGCGAAGGCAGCCCCCUGGGUCGACACUGACGCUCAUGCACGAAAGCGUGGGGAGCAAACAGGAUUAGAUACCCUGGUAGUCCACGCCCUAAACGAUGUCGACUAGGUGUUGGGGAAGGAGACUUCCUUAGUACCGCAGCUAACGCGUGAAGUCGACCGCCUGGGGAGUACGGUCGCAAGAUUAAA
rnacentral:rRNA from 1 species